UACGUAGGGCGCGAGCGUUGUCCGGAAUUAUUGGGCGUAAAGAGCUCGUAGGCGGCCUGUUGCGUCUGCUGUGAAAUCCCGGGGCUCAACCCCGGGCGUGCAGUGGAUACGGGCGGGCUAGAGGCAGGCAGGGGAGAACGGAAUUCCCGGUGUAGUGGUGGAAUGCGUAGAUAUCGGGAGGAACACCAGUGGCGAAGGCGGUUGCCUGGAGCUUUGCUGACGCUGAUGCGCGAAAGCGUGGGGAGCGAGUCCGG
rnacentral:rRNA from 1 species